rnacentral:rRNA from 1 species
ACAAUGGACAAUACAAAGGGCAGCGAAACCGCGAGGUCAAGCAAAUCCCAUAAAGUUGUUCUCAGUUCGAAUUGUAGUCUGCAACUCGACUACAUGAAGCUGGAAUCGCUAGUAAUCGUAGAUCAGCAUGCUACGGUGAAUACGUUCCCGGGUCUUGUACACACCGCCCGUCACACCACGAGAGUUUGUAACACCCGAAGCCGGUGGAGUAACCUUUUAGGAGCUAGCCGUCGAAGGUGGGACAAAUGAUUGGGGUGAAGUCGUAACAAGGUAGCCGUAUCGGAAGGUGCGGCUGGAUCACCUCCUUUCUAAGGA